UACGUAAGGCCCGAGCGUUGUCCGGAUUCAUUGGGCGUAAAGGGUACGUAGGCGGAUAAACAAGUUUGAAGUGAAAUCCUAUAGCUUAACUAUAGUAAGCUUUUAAAACUGUUCAUCUUGAGGUAUGAAAGGGAGAGUGGAAUUCCUAGUGUAGCGGUGAAAUGCGCAGAUAUUAGGAGGAAUACCGGUGGCGAAGGCGGCUUUCUGGUCUUAAACUGACGCUGAGGCUCGAAAGCGUGGGUAGCAAACAGG
rnacentral:rRNA from 1 species